rnacentral:lncRNA from 1 species
AUUACAUUAAAACUAUACUAAAAGAAUAGAAGAGAGGAUUUCAUCAGAAGGUUAGCUAAGAAUAGAAAAGCAAAGAAUGAUAACAAAGGUUUGUGGCUUGGGCUCUCUGUUUGAGCCAGCUGACUGUGAUUGACCAUUAAUUACAAACAACCGCACGAGACCAAUCACAGAUGCACCUGUUGCAUUCCCCAGCAGCAGAUAAUCAUUGUUUACAUUUUGUUCCUGAGGCUUUUCAGCUUCUCAGGAGGAAAAAUCUUAAGGAAAGGAUUUUGCAUGGAAUAUGUCUGUGACACCCAUCUCCCACCUGCACCUCCAAUGCUCAACCAGCUCCAGAAAUCAUCUCUCAGAGGAGCCCAGCAGCUGGACAAGGGAGGAUAGUGCUGAAGCUCCUUGGGAAGAUGUCCUUUUCAAAUGACUGACUGAGGAGCUCCCACUGUUUAUCCCCACCAAAUGAUUCUGGCUUUUUGAAGACGACUGAACACAUUUCUGGGCCUUUCAGCUGAGAUCCUUUCAAGUGAGAACAAAAGGCUGCUUGUAAAGUGUAUCAGUGCAAUUGUGGCUCCCAUGGUCAUUGCAGGUGUGAUGUUGUACUGGGAGCAAGAGUGACUUCAAAGCAAGACCAUUGAAUGGCAUCGUUUGCUCCAUAAUUUUGAAAUGGAUGGCUUUGGGGAGUAUGUCAGCUGGAAG